rnacentral:rRNA from 1 species
UACGUAGGGGGCGAGCGUUGUCCGGAAUUACUGGGCGUAAAGGGCGCGUAGGCGGUCCUUUAAGUCCGCGGUGAAAGCCCGGGGCUCAACCCCGGAGGGUCCGCGGAGACUGGAGGACUGGAGGGUCGGAGAGGAGUGCGGAAUUCCUGGUGUAGCGGUGGAAUGCGUAGAGAUCAGGAGGAACACCGAUGGCGAAGGCGGCGAUCUGGGUCGAUACUGACGCUGAGGUGCGAAAGCGUGGGGAGCAAACAGG